GCAAAACUCAGAUUCUCCUCCGAAUACUCAUGACCUGGGCCAUAAAGGGGAGAAACAAGAAGGGUGUUACCUGAUAAGAAAAAGGUGCCAACCCUCCACCCCCUUCAGAACUCCAUGAUUGGGCAACUGCAGGAUUAAGGACCUUGAUUUUCUUCACUCGAUGUUGGGGGAAACCAACUGAAUUUUGAUGCUACACAACAUGUUGGACAUGUAGCCCUUUCCCAUGAACUGGACAAGAGUAUUCUUUGGCUUGCCUAAUGGACCCUUGGGAAAUUUGCCCAUUUACUUUGGUUUUCUGGUUCUGUGCCUCCCAAUACAGGGGCCUCUACUCCACCACCACAGGCUUCGAUAGGAAUGUUCCUCCCUUCACCAGUGCCCCGUCCCUCACCUCAGGGUGGGACUUACCACAGCCAGAAAGAAAGAGAAGGUCCCCUGAAAAAAGGCAAGAAGGGCCUUUGUAGGGUUCUCCAUCCAGCACAUAGACCAUGUGGCCCCGAGUGUGACCAGGGGUGGCCAGAGCCUGGAACUGAAGCCUCCCCACACUCACCAUAUCCUGAUGGCAGAGGGGACUGGGGAAGGGAGAAGAGAAAAGAAAAGACCUUAAUUUGCAUAUACUUUAAUCUUCUUCACUCUCACUGAUGCUUGGCAAAGGGGCAAAAGAAGACCCUGGAGAGGGGUUCCUCAAUUCAA